AGAACGAACGCUGGCGGCAUGCCUAACACAUGCAAGUCGAACGAGACCUUCGGGUCUAGUGGCGCACGGGUGCGUAACGCGUGGGAAUCUGCCCUUGGGUUCGGGAUAACAGUUGGAAACGACUGCUAAUACCGGAUAAUGACUUCGGUCCAAAGAUUUAUUGCCCAGGGAUGAGCCCGCGUAGGAUUAGCUAGUUGGUGAGGUAAAGGCUCACCAAGGCGACGAUCCUUAGCUGGUCUGAGAGGAUGAUCAGCCUCACUGGGACUGAGACACGGGCCCAGACU
rnacentral:rRNA from 1 species